GGGAAGUACCCAUCUGUUGCAAUACCCCGCCUUGGGGCCAAUGGAAGAAGAAGGGUGAAAGUGAAGAAUUAGAGCUUUCUUCUUUUCCAGCCACAAGACCCCUGCCUAGAUACAGCUGUCUGGAAGUCAACUGUUCUUUCACAGUCAACUGAAUGUUGAGAAUGGAAGUAAGCCAAUCACCUGCAACCCCAGUCAGUUCAAGUUCAAAGAAAAAUAAACUUAAGGGAAAUAAUUAAAUAGAAGCAAAAGAUUAUAUAUACUAGCUCUACACUGGAUUUCCACCACUGUUCUCAGCAAAAAAGAAAACAGUAUGCCUGUCAUUAGGUCACGAUUCUAACAAAUUAUGACAUAAAUGUAAUAGACUAUUAUGUACCACUUUGGAAUAAAAGAACGACUGUAAGAA